AGGGUUCGAUUCUGGCUCAGGACGAACGCUGGCGGCGUGCCUAACACAUGCAAGUCGAACGAAGCUCGAUGCUUUGAGGUUUCGGCCAAGGAGCAAAGAUGACUUAGUGGCGAACGGGUGAGUAAUGCGUGAGCAACCUGCCUUUCAGAGGGGGACAACAGUUGGAAACGACUGCUAAUACCGCAUAAUAUACUUGGGUGGCAUCACUUGGGUAUCAAAGGAGCAAUCCGCUGAGAGAUGGGCUCACGUCUGAUUAGCUAGAUGGCGGGGUAACGGCCCACCAUGGCGACGAUCAGUAGCCGGUCUGAGAGGAUGAACGGCCACAUUGGGACUGAGAUACGGCCCAG
rnacentral:rRNA from 1 species